CGGGAUCCUACCUUCUCCUGCUGCAGGCGCGCGGUUCCCAGCGGGCCAGCGGCGGUCAGCCGAGGUCGAGACACCCGCAGGGUGGCGUUAGCGGCCGGUCGUACCACGGCAGCCCCGCCGAUCGGGUUCCUUUGGGAGACUUCGAAUUGUUGGCGACCUGAUGGCCAAAAGAAAGGAAGAAAAUUUUUCCUCUCCUAAAAAUGCCAAAAGGCCAAGACAAGAAGAAUUGGAGGAUUUUGAUAAAGAUGGUGACGAAGACGAAUGUAAAGGUACUUCUACUUUGACUGCAGCAGAAGUUGGAAUAAUUGAGAGUAUUCACCUAAAAAACUUCAUGUGUCAUUCAAUGCUUGGACCCUUUAAGUUUGGUUCUAAUGUCAACUUUGUUGUUGGCAACAAUGGAAGUGGGAAGAGUGCAGUACUCACAGCUCUCAUAGUUGGUCUUGGUGGAAGAGCAGUUGCUACUAAUAGAGGAUCCUCUUUAAAAGGUUUUGUGAAGGAUGGACAGAACUCUGCAGAUAUCUCAAUAACAUUGAGGAACAGAGGAGAUGAUGCCUUUAAAGCCAGUGUGUAUGGUAACUCUAUACUUAUACAGCAACAUAUCAGCAUAGAUGGAAGUCGAUCUUAUAAACUUAAAAGUGCAACAGGCUCCGUGGUUUCCACUAAGAAAGAAGAGCUGAUUGCAAUUCUUGAUCAUUUUAACAUCCAGGUGGAUAAUCCAGUUUCUGUUUUAACACAAGAAAUGAGCAAGCAGUUCUUACAGUCUAAAAAUGAAGGAGACAAAUACAAAUUCUUCAUGAAAGCAACGCAACUUGAACAGAUGAAGGAAGAUUAUUCAUACAUUAUGGAAACAAAAGAAAGAACAAAGGAGCAGAUACAUCAAGGAGAAGAGCGGCUUACUGAACUAAAGCGCCAGUGCGUAGAGAAAGAGGAACGUUUUCAAAGUAUUGCUGGUUUAAGUACAAUGAAGACUAAUUUAGAGUCCUUGAAACAUGAAAUGGCUUGGGCAGUGGUCAAUGAAAUUGAAAAACAAUUGAAUGCUAUCAGAGAUAAUAUCAAAAUUGGAGAAGAUCGUGCUGCUAGACUUGACAGGAAAAUGGAAGAACAGCAGGUCAGACUUAAUGAAGCAGAACAAAAGUACAAGGAUAUUCAAGACAAACUAGAAAAGAUUAGUGAAGAGACAAAUGCACGAGCACCAGAAUGUAUGGCAUUGAAAGCAGAUGUCGUUGCUAAGAAAAGGGCCUAUAAUGAAGCUGAGGUUUUAUAUAACCGAUCCUUAAAUGAAUAUAAAGCAUUAAAGAAAGAUGAUGAGCAGCUUUGUAAACGAAUUGAAGAACUGAAGAAAAGUACUGACCAAUCUUUGGAACCUGAACGGUUGGAAAGACAAAAAAAAAUAUCUUGGUUAAAAGAGAGAGUAAAGGCCUUACGAAAUCAAGAAAAUUCAGUCAAUCAAGAGAUCGAACAGUUUCAGCAAGCCAUAGAAAAGGACAAAGAAGAACAUGGCAAAAUUAAGAGAGAAGAAUCAGAUGUGAAGCAUGCACUGAGCUACAAUCAGAGGCAACUGAAAGAAUUGAAAGAUAGUAAAACUGAUCGACUCAAAAGAUUUGGCCCUAAUGUUCCAGCUCUUCUUGAAGCCAUAGAUGAUGCUUAUAGACAAGGACUUUUUACCUAUAAACCUGUAGGCCCUUUAGGAGCUUGCAUUCAUCUUCGGGACCCGGAACUUGCUUUGGCCAUUGAAUCUUGCUUAAAAGGGCUUCUGCAGGCCUAUUGUUGCCAUAAUCAUGCUGAUGAAAGUGUCCUUCAGGCACUCAUGAAAAGGUUUUAUUUACCAGGGACCUCACGGCCACAGAUAAUAGUUUCUGAGUUUCGGAAUGAGAUAUAUGAUGUAAGACACAGAGCUGCUUAUCAUCCAGAGUUUCCAACAGUUCUGACAGCUUUAGAAAUAGAUAAUGCGGUCGUGGCAAAUAGCCUAAUUGACAUGAGAGGCAUAGAGACAGUGCUACUAAUCAAAAAUAAUUCUGUAGCUCGUGCAAUAAUGCAGUCCCAAAAGCCACCCAAAAAUUGUAGAGAAGCUUUUACUGCUGAGGGUGAUCAAGUUUUUGCAGGACGUUAUUAUUCAUCUGAAUAUACAAGACCUAAGUUCCUAAGCAGAGAUGUGGAUUCUGAAAUAAGUGACUUGGAGAAUGAGGUUGAAAAUAAGAUGGCCCAGAUAUUAAAUCUUCAGCAACAUUUAUCUGACCUUGAAAAAGAUAUUAAACGCAAUGAGGAACUUCUUAAAAGGUGCCAACUACAUUAUAAAGAACUGGAGAUGAAAAUAAGAAAAAGUAAUUCUGAAAUUCGGGAACUUGAGAACAUAGAAGAACACCAGUCUGUAGAUAUUGCAACUUUGGAAGAUGAAGCUCAGGAAAAUAAAAGCAAAAUGAAAAUGGUUGAGAAACAUAUGGAGCAACAAAAAGAAAAUAUGGAGCAUCUUAAAAGUCUGAAAAUAGAAGCAGAAAAUAAGUAUGAUGCAAUUAAAUUAAAAAUUAAUCAACUAUCAGAGCUAGCCGACCCACUUAAGGAUGAAUUAAACCUUGCUGAUUCUGAAGUGGAUAACCAAAAACGAGGGAAACGACAUUAUGAAGAAAAACAAAAAGAACACUUGGAUACCUUAAAUAAAAAGAAACGAGAACUGGAUAUGAAAGAGAAAGAACUACAGGAGAAAAUGUCACAAGCAAGACAGAUCUGCCCGGAGCGUAUAGAAGUAGAAAAAUCUGCAUCAAUUCUGGACAAAGAAAUUAAUCGAUUAAGGCAGAAGAUACAGGCAGAACAUGCUAGUCAUGGAGAUCGAGAGGAAAUAAUGAGGCAGUACCAAGAAGCAAGAGAGACCUAUCUUGAUCUAGAUAAUAAAGUAAGGACUUUAAAAAAGUUUAUUAAAUUAUUGGGAGAAAUCAUGGACCACAGAUUCAAAACAUAUCAACAAUUUAGAAGGUGUUUGACUUUACGAUGCAAAUUGUACUUUGACAACUUACUAUCUCAGCGGGCCUAUUGUGGAAAAAUGAAUUUUGACCACAAGAAUGAAACUCUAAGUAUAUCAUAUGCUUGGCCCACAAGAAAUACUAGAGAACAUCUUCAGAUGAAAGAAAAAUGGAUGGAAACAUGGAAUUGCAGAAGGAACAGAGAGGAAUGCAAAAGGUUCAGCCUGGAGAAGGAAAUAAAGCUGCCUUCAAUGACAUGAGAGCCUUGUCUGGAGGCGAACGUUCUUUCUCCACGGUGUGUUUUAUUCUUUCCCUAUGGUCCAUCGCGGAAUCUCCUUUCAGAUGCCUGGAUGAGUUUGAUGUCUACAUGGAUAUGGUUAAUAGGAGAAUUGCCAUGGACUUGAUACUGAAGAUGGCAGAUUCCCAGCGUUUUAGACAGUUUAUCUUACUUACACCUCAAAGCAUGAGUUCACUUCCAUCAAGUAAACUGAUAAGAAUUCUCCGAAUGUCUGAUCCUGAAAGAGGACAAACUACAUUGCCUUUCAGACCUGUGACUCAAGAAGAGGAAGAUGACCAAAGCUGAUUUGUAAUGUAACAUGCCUUGUCCUGAUGUUGAAGGAUUUGUGAAGGGAAAAAAAUUCUGGACUCUUUGAUGUAAUAAAAUGAGACUGGAGACAUUCUGAAAUGAAAGAAACUCCUUUAUAUAUCCAACCACAAUCAAAUGUAUAAAUAAGCCUAGAAAACCAACUACAACCAGCAAUUUAAGAUUACUAUUACUUUAAGAAAAUCAAUUUCAUAGUAUUGGUUUUAAAUCUUUUUAAUUUUUUUUAUACCAUCUAUUUUUAUAGAUUCUUUUUCAGAAAUAAAAUUUUGUACAUAUAUACAUGUACAUAUCUGUUUAGUUUGGAUUCAUUUCUAUAGCAUUUUGUAAGAAAAUAAAAGUUUGAGCACCUGAUUAUAUUUAGUUUUGCUUUUCCAGAUAUUACAUUCUAUAGUUACCAAAAAUGGAUGAAGGGAGGGAUUUCUCAUUGCAGAGGGUGGGGUGCAAGGGCAGUAAGACACUUGUACGGAGCACUGAAAGUUGGCCAACUUCUACACAUGCCUUUUUCUCAGUCCUUUGUCCACCCUACCAAGAGCUUGUAACCAGUAUAAGAACUGGAUAACAGUUUUUCACUCUGACCUCCAGCAUGCUUGCCUGGUUUAAAAGCCCUCAGUUUGCGGUCCAGGGACUCUUCAGGCUUGUCCUUAGCUGAGAGGACACAGGCUAGAGGGACUGUGCAGACCAGGCUGGGAGAAGGGCUGGAAAAACUGGGAGUGGAGGGUGGAUCCUCAUGGAGCAGGAGAGUAGCUGGUGGCUCCAGGAGCCUGAGGCCAUGCAGUUGAUGGUGAGCUGACAUCAAUUCUAAGACUCAUCCUAAUUUAGGGGUGUUAAAAAGUGUGCUGCUUAGAAUGAUCAAAUAUAGUUAUUGUAAAAAAUUAUAUUUAUGAACUUUUUAUUUUAGAAAACACGAAUUUUAUUGCUCCCCGAAUUCUUUGUUUGAUACUAGGAUUCAUGCUAAACUUUUUAAGAACAUAUUGGAUAUCAAGAAACAUUCCUUACAUUAGUAGCAAUAAAUAUUAGAAUAAAUGUUUAUGAAAUUGAACUAUUUUCAGAAAAAGGGCAGUAUAUUAAGAGCAGGGAUUGUUCUCUAGUUAUUGAGGAAAAUUAGAUUUCGUUUGUGUUUUUGGUGGAAGAAGAAGUUUAAGGCACUUUAGUUCUUAAAUUGAGGUUUGUUGCCAAAUGAGAAGUUCACAAACUUGGGCUUUCUAAUCUGAGAAUUUCCAGGAAGAGGAAAGUGUGUGCUGAAUAUUUUAAACAUUUCUCACUGAUCAUACAAAGUCUGAUUUUUAAAUUUACAUUUAUAAUGCCUUUGUAUUAAAACUAUUUUUAGCAUGUGCUUUUCCAAAUUAAAAAUGAAGUAGAGUAUACCAAAUGCAUAAACUUCCAUUAGCUAAGGAACUAAUGUCUGAAUUUUGUUAUAGUUUUGAAUGUUGUGCUCUUUAAUACAGAACGGGAAACAUAAUCCUCAGGUAUCCCAGCAUCUCUUGUUGAAUUGAAGAUUAUUCAUUGCUUUGGCCUCACAAAGUUUUGGUUUCAACUAUCAUAAGUGAAAAUAUCUUCCUUUAAUGUUCUAAGUAGUGAUAAUAUUAUUAGACUGAAAGAAUAAAAAGAAAUUGUUCUUUUAAAACGUGUAACUUCUAAAAAUAAAACAAUUUAUAUGUA